rnacentral:rRNA from 1 species
CUAAUACCGCAUGACAUAUCAGAAUCACAUGAUUUUGUAUAUCAAAGAUUUUAUUCGCUUGAAGAUGGACUCGCGUCCGAUUAGUUAGUUGGUGAGGUAACGGCCUACCAAGGCGACGAUCGGUAGCCGGCCUGAGAGGGUGAACGGUCACAUUGGGACUGAGACACGGUCCAAACUCCUACGGGAGGCAGCAUG